CCGGUGGAGGAGGACGGUCCGGGGCCUGCUACUCCGCUCUGACCUCUACUAUAGAGAGGUUGUUGAGUCAGACAAAGAAAACGGGAUGCAGCGACCAGCUGUGUUCCUCCUGGUGUUGGUGACGCUUGCGUGUGGAGGCGUCCACGACCCUCCAGGUGCUGGAGCAGGAAGGUCAACCACCCUCCACGACCCUCCAGGUGGUGGAGCAGGAAGGUCAACCACCCUCCACGACCCUCCAGGUGCUGGAGCAGGAAGGUCAACCACCCUCCACGACCCUCCAGGUGCUGGAGCAGGAAGGUCAACCACCCUCCACGACCCUCCUGGUGCUGGA